GCCGAGAUAGCUCAGUCGGUAGAGCAGGGGACUGAAAAUCCUCGUGUCACAUUCAAAUUAAG
rnacentral:tRNA from 1 species